UACGGAGGGUGCGAGCGUUGUUCGGAAUCACUGGGCGUAAAGCGCGUGUAGGCGGCCUGCUAAGUCUGAUGUGAAAGCCCGAGGCUCACCCUCGGAAGUGCAUUGGAAACUGGCAGACUGGAGUCCCGGAGAGGAGGGUGGAAGUUCCUGGUGUAGCGGUGAAUGCGUAGAUAUCAGGAGGAACACCGGUGGCGAAGGCGGCCCUCUGGACGGUGACUGACGCUGAGACGCGAAAGCGUGGGAGCAAACAGG
rnacentral:rRNA from 1 species